UCUGGAAACCAUAGAGCUGUGGUACCACCUGAUCCCAUUCCGAACUCAGAAGUGAAACACAGUAUCGCCGAUGGUAGUGUGGGGUCUCCCCAUGUGAGAGUAGGUCAUUUCCAGGC
rnacentral:rRNA from 2 species